rnacentral:rRNA from 1 species
UACGUAGGGUGCAAGCGUUGUCCGGAAUUAUUGGGCGUAAAGAGCUUGUAGGCGGUUUGUCGCGUCUGCUGUGAAAUUUCGGGGCUCAACCCAGAACUUGCAGUGGGUACGGGCAGACUAGAGUGUGGUAGGGGAGACUGGAAUUCCUGGUGUAGCGGUGAAAUGCGCAGAUAUCAGGAGGAACACCGAUGGCGAAGGCAGGUCUCUGGGCCACUACUGACGCUGAGAAGCGAAAGCAUGGGGAGCGAACAGG